GAAGGCGAUCAGAUACCGCCCUAGUUCUAACCAUAAACGAUGCCAGCCAGCGAUCCGGCUGUGUUCCUCAAAUGACACGCCGGGCAGCUUCCGGGAAACCAAAGCUUUUGGGUUCCGGGGGAAGUAUGGUUGCAAAGCUGAAACUUAAAGGAAUUGACGGAGGGGCACCACAAUGGAAUGGAGCCUGCGGCUUAAUUUGACUCAACACGCGAGAAUCUUACUCGGUCCGGACACAGGAAGGAUUGACAGAUUGAGAGCUCUUUCUUGAUUCUGUGGCAGGUGGUGCAUGGCCGUUCUUAGCUGGUGGUGCGAAUUGUCUGGUUAAUUCCGAUAACGAUCGAGACUCUAGCCUACUAAAUAGACGUUCCGAUCAUUAUGUCGGACGGUCUUCUUAGAGGGACACGCGGCGUUUAGCCGCACGAGACAGAGCAAUAACAGGUCUGUGAUGCCCUUAGAUGUCCGGGGCCGCACGCGCGCUACAUUGAAGGAAUCAGCGUGUGCUUUCCCUGUCCGACAGGACUGGGUAACCCGUUGAACCUCCUUCGUGCUUGGGAUAGGCCGAUGUAAUUAUGGCCUUGAACGAGGAAUUCCUAGUAAGUGCGAGUCAUUAACUCGCAUUGAUUACGUCCCUGCCCCUUGUGCACACCGCCCGUCGCCGUUAGCGAUUGAAUGAUUUAGUGAGGUCUUCGGACUGGCGCUCGGAUACCGUUCUUCGGAGCGAGCCGGCGCGCCGGAAAGAUGAUCGAACUUGGUUAUUUAGAGGUAACGAAAGUCGUAACAAGGUUGC
rnacentral:rRNA from 2 species